UAGGGAAUCUUCCGCAAUGGGCGAAAGCCUGACGGAGCAACGCCGCGUGAGUGAUGAAGGUCUUCGGAUCGUAAAACUCUGUUAUUAGGGAAGAACAAAUGUGUAAGUAACUAUGCACGUCUUGACGGUACCUAAUCAGAAAGCCACGGCUAACUACGUGCCAGCAGCCGCGGUAAUACGUAGGUGGCAAGCGUUAUCCGGAAUUAUUGGGCGUAAAGCGCGAGUAGGCGGUUUUUUAAGUCUGAUGUGAAAGCCCACGGCUCAACCGUGGAGGGUCAUUGGAAACUGGAAAACUUGAGUGCAGAAGAGGAAAGUGGAAUUCCAUGUGUAGCGGUGAAAUGCGCAGAGAUAUGGAGAAACACCAGUGGCUAAGGCGACUUUCUGGUCUGUAACUGACGCUGAUGUGCGAAGGCGUGGGGAUCAAACAGG
rnacentral:rRNA from 1 species